rnacentral:lncRNA from 1 species
GAUUUGUAUCUCGUAAAUCAGAAAAAGUCUUCAAAUGCAGUUUAUUCCUGUGGAACGCUGUCAAGGUUAGCAAGACACAGGUACAGACCUGGACGCGUCUUUUGCUCUAAUGCUACAGUGAUGGCUAGGAUUCCUGACAGUGGGCUGGGACGUGGUCAUGCUAGAUGCUAUACAAGAAUGUUUCGGUAUGUGACAAGACCUGGCAGAUGUGUAUGAAUAAAUAAAGAACAAGGUAAUAACAAGGGCCAUUGUGGCCCAGCACAACAAACAUUACCUUAUUCUCAGCUUUUCCAAGAGCUGUGACAGUACUGAGGAAAAUAACGGCUGCCAUUUGUUUGACAUAAAAGCAAUUUUUCUCCAUGGUCCUUCUUGCAGAUUUUCACUUUUCUAUCCCUUAGUUUGCUUCCUAUGACGUUAACUCAGAAUCUGCAAUAUUCUUCUUCCAUAAAAUCAAUGCAAAUAUUGAGCUACAGUACAGGCACAUGCAUAUACUCAAUUUCUGCAGCUAGUGGUUCCCCUAAAAUAAACCUUCUCUUAGAUAAUAAACAACCACUCUUUGGUACCUAUAGGUUCCCUGUAACAAGGAUGGAGAAAUUUAGACAAUGCUUCAGAUUCAGAGGAGUACUUACGAGGAGCCUGUCUGUGCAGCCUCCCCUCUGGCUGGUAGCCCUUCCUGUUGCUGAUGCCAACAGCACUCCUCCCAUGAAUUACUGCUUGCCGGUGCGAGCAAGGCCAUCACGCGUGAGUUCUACGUCUUCAUCCCGGUAACUUUUCUUCUCUGGAACCUGAUGCUACUCCCAGAUGAUCGUGAAUGAAUAAGACGCGCAGCUGCUAAGGACUGGCAGUACAAAGCCAAUGAUAUUUAAAAGCAUUUUGUAUUAAUUAAGGUAUCUGUUAACCUCCACAGCUUUAAAUAACCUUUAAAUGAAACGUAAGCACAUGCGUUCCUUGCCGUGUUGCCAAGCAUCUGUGCUAGCGCUGCAAACAACCUGCAGGGUUAUACAGUUAUUUGCACUGCUUUAUUGGUCACGCUUUUACAUCAAAAAACUGCAGACUGCUGCUUGCCUGUUGGUCUUAACAAGGCUGAUAGCCACAGUGAACUAAGCUUACAGAUUUAUAGCAGAGAUGGGCGCUUGUGGUUGUUACAGUUGGUCGGCUUAGUAUGUGAAAAGCUG